rnacentral:rRNA from 1 species
GAGUUUGAUCGUGGCUCAGAACGAACGCUGGCGGCAUGCCUAACACAUGCAAGUCGAACGAGACCUUCGGGUCUAGUGGCGCACGGGUGCGUAACGCGUGGGAAUCUGCCCUUAGGUACGGAAUAACAGUGAGAAAUUACUGCUAAUACCGUAUGAUGUCUUCGGACCAAAGAUUUAUCGCCUAGGGAUGAGCCCGCGUUGGAUUAGCUAGUUGGUGGGGUAAAGGCCUACCAAGGCGACGAUCCAUAGCUGGUCUGAGAGGAUGAUCAGCCACACUGGGACUGAGACACGGCCCAGACUCCUACGGGAGGCAGCAGUGGGGAAUAUUGGACAAUGGGCGAAAGCCUGAUCCAGCAAUGCCGCGUGAGUGAAGAAGGCCUCGGUUGUAAG